rnacentral:rRNA from 1 species
GACGUAGGGCGCGAGCGUUGUCCGGAUUUAUUGGGCGUAAAGAGCUCGUAGGCGGCUUGUCGCGUCGACUGUGAAAACCCGUGGCUCAACCAUGUGGUCUGCAGUCGAUACGGGCAGGCUAGAAUUCGGUAGGGGAGACUGGAAUUCCUGGUGUAGCGGUGAAAUGCGCAGAUAUCAGGAAGAACACCAAUGGCGAAAGCAGCUCUCUGGGACGGUACUGACGCUGAGACGCGAAAGCGUGGGGAGCGAACAGG